AGUAGCACACAUCACUUAGCAUAUGCUAGAAUUAGAAUUAUGUGUAAUGAAACACUUAUUUGUCAAGUGCCAAUGACUUUGAUUGACUUUCAGGAUAAAACUAAAGCAACAAAAGAAAACGGGCCUUAGCUAAUGGCUUUACCAGUGGAUCCUUUUUAUCCAACUGAGAUUUUCCUUAUGAUUCUAACUGUGGUUUACCUGAGAUUAGAUCGAUUCUCCUCCUGCUACUCAACCAGCUCGUUUUGACCUGACUUUGACCGCUUUCUGAUCGCUGGUCAAUAAAACCCCAAAUCCUUAGCCAUAUCCUUUCCUGGCUAGUUGCCCCACACAGACUACUCUUUUCUCUUUGCUUUAGUGUUAGAUGGGGAAGAAUAAGGUUAGACUGUUCUAGGCAGUGAAACCAAUGAUUGAGGGUGGUCAUAAAUCAGAUGGGAGCAUACAAGAAAGAGAGUCAUUUUGUAAUCUUAUCAAAUCGGUGUUAAAACAGUCGCUUUUUUCAUACCAAGAAAAGUGCUUUAAUACGUGGACCAUAAGUCCCUACUCCUAAUAAGUUGUGGAAUUCAGUCCCUUCCAAUAUGAGUGUCAGACUUGCUUCCUGAUCUACGACCACCCUCCUAUGCUAAAAAAAGAAGCAGC
rnacentral:lncRNA from 1 species